rnacentral:piRNA from 1 species
UGGUGCUUACUGGCUUACUCCUCA